CGUGUGUGAAGAAGGCCNUCGGGUUGUAAAGCACUUUUANCAGGANCGAAAUCUGCAAGGCUAAUACCCUUGUAGUCUGACGGUACCUGAGGAAUAAGCACCGGCUAACUCCGUGCCAGCAGCCGCGGUAAUACGGAGGGUGCAAGCGUUAAUCGGAAUUACUGGGCGUAAAGCGUGUGUAGGCGGUUUGUUAAGUCUGNUGUGAAAGCCCCGGGCUCAACCUGGGAAUGGCAAUGGAUACUGGCAAGCUAGAGUGUGAUANAGGAUGGUGGAAUUCCCGGUGUAGCGGUGAAAUGCGUANAGAUCGGGAGGAACAUCANUGGCGAAGGCGGCCAUCUGGAUCAACACUGACGCUGANACACGAAAGCGUGGGGAGCAAACAGGAUUANAUACCCUGGUAGUCCACGCCCUAAACGAUGCGAACUGGAUGUUGGUCUCAACUCGGANAUCAGUGUCGAAGCUAACGCGUUAAGUUCGCCGCC
rnacentral:rRNA from 1 species